GACGAACGCUGGCGGCGUGCUUAACACAUGCAAGUCGAACGGAAAGGCCCUGCUUUUGUGGGGUGCUCGAGUGGCGAACGGGUGAGUAACACGUGAGUAACCUGCCCUUGACUUUGGGAUAACUUUAGGAAACUGGGGCUAAUACCGGAUAGGAGCUCUUGCUGCAUGGUGGGGGUUGGUAAGUUUCGGCGGUUGGGGAUGGAAUAGCGGCUUAUCAGCUUGUUGGUGAGGUAGUGGCUUACCAAGGCUUUGACGGGUAGCCGGCCUGAGAGGGUGACCGGCCACAUUGGGACUGAGGUACGGACCAGACUCCUACGGGAGGCAGCAGUGGGGAAUAUUGCACAAUGGGCGGAAGCCUGAUGCAGCAACGCCGCGUGCGGAAUGACGGCCUUCGAGUUGUAAACCGAUUUCGACUGUGACGAGGCGUGAGUGACGGUAAUGGGUAAAGAAGCACCGGCUAACUACGUG
rnacentral:rRNA from 1 species